GGCUCAGGACGAACGCUGGCGGCGUGCUUAACACAUGCAAGUCGAACGAUGAACCACUUCGGUGGGGAUUAGUGGCGAACGGGUGAGUAACACGUGGGCAAUCUGCCCUUCACUCUGGGACAAGCCCUGGAAACGGGGUCUAAUACCGGAUAACACUUCCACUCUCCUGAGUGGAGGUUAAAAGCUCCGGCGGUGAAGGAUGAGCCCGCGGCCUAUCAGCUUGUUGGUGAGGUAAUGGCUCACCAAGGCGACGACGGGUAGCCGGCCUGAGAGGGCGACCGGCCACACUGGGACUGAGACACGGCCCAGACUCCUACGGGAGGCAGCAGUGGGGAAUAUUGCACAAUGGGCGAAAGCCUGAUGCAGCGACGCCGCGUGAGGGAUGACGGCCUUCGGGUUGUAAACCUCUUUCAGCAGGGAAGA
rnacentral:rRNA from 1 species